rfam:Mus musculus chromosome 5, GRC primary reference assembly.
AAGGUUUUAGCUUAAUUAAGGUAAUUGAUUUGCAUUCAAUAGAUUUAGGAUAGAGUCUUACAGUCCUUA